AUCAGUUGCUCUGCAAUGGGAUGGGAUCCGAAGUCCCUCGAGGGAUAAAACAGGCUCUCCCAUCCGACUCCUAUUCCGACACGUCCUCGUCGUGCAGAGUGGUAACAUGUGCCUCCAUAUUAGAGGCAAAUUCUUUAAUAUUGAGCC
rnacentral:ribozyme from 1 species